rnacentral:ncRNA from 12 species
GAGAGAUGGCUGAGUGGUCGAAAGCGGUAGAUUGCUAAUCUAUUGUACAGAAUUCUGUACCGGGGGUUCGAAUCCCCCUCUCUCC